rnacentral:rRNA from 1 species
GACGAACGCUGGCGGCGUGCUUAACACAUGCAAGUCGAACGGAAAGGCCCUGCUUUUGUGGGGUGCUCGAGUGGCGAACGGGUGAGUAACACGUGAGUAACCUGCCCUUGACUUUGGGAUAACUUCAGGAAACUGGGGCUAAUACCGGAUAGGAGCUCCUGCUGCAUGGUGGGGGUUGGAAAGUUUCGGCGGUUGGGGAUGGACUCGCGGCUUAUCAGCUUGUUGGUGGGGUAGUGGCUUACCAAGGCUUUGACGGGUAGCCGGCCUGAGAGGGUGACCGGCCACAUUGGGACUACGAUACGGACCAGACGCGUACGGGAGGCAGCGGUGGGGAAUCUUGCACAAUGGGCGGGAGCCUGAUGCGGAAGCGCCGGGUGCGGGAUGACGGCCUUUGGGUUGUGAACAGCUUUCGCCUGUGACGAAGCGUGAGUGACGGUAAUGAGUAAAGAAGCACCGGCUAACUACGUG